GAAGCUUGAUCAUCCAAGACACCUUAACCAUCAUUCAAGCUACUCCACCUUCAAGCUGAUAAUCAUCUAGGCAAGUAGCUUGUGUGUGCUCUUUUCCUAACCUUUGGUUUUGUCCCACUGGGUUUUCCAAAGGAAGGUUUUUAACGAGGCCACAAGUCUACUUCUCCUAUCUCCUAGAUGAUUGAUCUUGGUCUGUCCACAUGAAGACCUUAUCUUAUAUUUUAAGCUAUGCUUUUAUGUUAUUUAGUUUUCGAAAAAAAACUCUAGUCUUUGUUGUGUUUCCAAGGGAGCCUUUGUCUUUAUUUCCCUUGUAUUUUCGAGACCUUGUGCAUGUACAAGGCUUCUCCUUUAUAUUCUGGUCGUGGC
rnacentral:lncRNA from 1 species